rnacentral:lncRNA from 1 species
AAAGCCAGACCACCCUCACCUUCCCAUCCCUGAAGCGGUGUCGCCACAGGAAGAAGUAGACACCUCCCAGCUAAUUGCCCCAAGCGGGUCAAACUUCGGAAUCGGCGUCCUGCUCUGCGUUGUGGAGCGCAUGGCAAAGAGGAAGGGUUGGUGCUCGGAACAGAAUCUCCGUGAUUUGCCAGAGGAAACAGCACAGACUCCAGACAGCAGAAGCGCCGGGAUUUCCAUGCAGCUGCCACGACAGGUGACCCGGCCCGCUCUGCAGUCACCCGGCUCGCCCGGGGGCUUCGCGGAAGGGAAAGCCGCCGGGAGCACAGAAGCGCUGUCACCACCGACCCGCGCAGCUCCCCGGGAAAACGGUCACCCGAGUGGCCGCGAUGGUAACAUCCCAGAGGAUCUCUUCUUCAGUUGUCCAUGGAGAAAGGACCGGAUAGCGUCAUUUUAACUCAGGGAAGAACAAUUCACAGCCUUCCCCCUCCUGUUAAAUUUGAUGGAUGUCCUGCUAACAACGAAACUUGAUAAUCUCUUCUUUUUCCAGCUUGUGCAAAGAAAUAGCAUAGCUGAUUGUGUGACUCUUCACACGUGUAGUUUAAAAAAAAAAGCAUUCUUUUUUCCUUGAUUUGAAGCAUUAGAGGCCCCAUAUAGUUAGGAAUAGCAGCGACUCUUCCGCAAGGGCUCAGCGUUGUUUUCUGUUUUGCCUGUCUGCAAAAGUUUUCGAAUCCGUUUCAGACUUAAGAAUUACUGAUUCUGUGAAUUUUGUCAAAAAAAAAGUUGGACCGAGUUUGUUAAAUUCUGAAAUUCCAUGAAUACUCGCCUCAGCCUCCCGAGUAGCUAGGGACUACAGGUGCCCGCCACCAUGCCCAGCUCAUUUGUGAUUUUUUUUUUUUCAGUGUAGGAGUUUCGCUCUGUUGCCCUGGCUCAUCUCGAACUCCUGGCUCCAAGUGAUCCUCCUGCCUCUGCCUUCCAAAGUGUUGAGAUUACAGGCAUGAGCCACCACACUUGACCUAAUUUUACAAAUUUUGACAAAUGCUACCUAGACUUUUUUUAUUUUUAAAAAGGUAAGCCAAGCGUGGCGUGUAGUCCCCAGCUACUCCGGAGGCUGAGGCGGGUGGAUCCCUGGAGACCAGGAGCUGGGGGCCGCAGUGAGCUAUAAUCAUGCCUGUGGACUCCAGCCUGAGCAUAGCGAAACCCGGCUCUAACACAAGAAAAUUAAAUAUUAAUUUAAAAGUAACUGAACCAAGAAUAGUUGCCUCAUGUUUGAAUGCGUAUAAAUAUAAUGCAUUUAACUGUGGUCCCAGCUACUCCGGAGGCUGAGGCACGAGAAUCCUUUGAACCCCGAGAGGCAGAGGUUGCAGGGAGCCGAGAUUGCGCCACUGCACUCCAGCCUGGGUGACAGAGUGAGACCCUGUCUCAAAAAGAGUAUAUAUAUAAUAUAUAUGUAUAACGCAUUUAAUAGAAGCAUUAAGAUCAGCAUUAUUUGAUUAUAUUUUAUAAGCACUCCAAAACUUAAUUUUGAAAACCUUAAGAAAUAAAACUACAUUUACAUCUUAGAGUACCUUAAAAGAUAAUCUUCGCUCAAUGUAAUUAGUAUUGCACUUCAGUUUAGUGCUCAAUGUUAUGUUAAAUACUGUGGAGAGAUCAAAGGAAGAAUAUGAUAUGGCCCUUGCCUUCAAAAUUUACAAUUUCUGUACAGAAUUACUUUAAAAUGUGUGCAUAACUUUUUUGUUUGUUUUUUUGAGACGGAGUCUCACUCUGUUGCCCAGGCUGGGGUGCAGUGGUGUGAUCUCCGCUAACUGCAACCUCCGCCUCCCAGGUUCAAGCAAUUCUCCUGCCUCAGCCUCCCGAGUAGCUGGGAUUGCUGGGAUUACA